rnacentral:rRNA from 1 species
AUCUAUGCCCAUACCACCCUGAACAUGCCUGAUCUCAGCUGAUCUCAGAAGCUAAGCAGGGUCAGGCAUGAUUAGUACUUAGAUGGGAGAGCCAUUUACUCACUUGUUGGUGCUC